AAUAAUCUGGAAAAAACAAAAAUGGAUCUCCUCUGCCGUCUCUCAGUGCUAACUAGGAACAACCAAUCAGAGGCAGGAGGUGGGGCCUAGCGCUGUCAAU